rnacentral:rRNA from 1 species
UACGGGGGGUGCGAGCGUUGUCCGGAAUCACUGGGCGUAAAGGGCGCGUAGGUGGUUUGAUAAGGGUGUGGUGAAAGCCCGGGGCUCAACUCCGGAAUUGCCUUUAAGACUGCAUCGCUAGAAUUGUGGAGAGGUAAGUGGAAUUCCGAGUGUAGAGGUGAAAUUCGUAGAUAUUCGGAAGAACACCAGUGGCGAAGGCGACUUACUGGACACAUAUUGACGCUGAGGUGCGAAAGCGUGGGGAGCAAACAGG